UUACAGAUGAUGAAGGAUUUCAAAGCGAAGACACCCCAUCAACUUCAAAUUGCCAUUAGAUGAUUUGAAUUUCAAUUGAACAAGCCAACAGAUCAACCUAGAUUUUCCACCACAUCCACUACAGUAAUGGGUUGACAGUGGAUACCGUGAUGUCGUCAGCUGAUUUGGUUGAACAAAAGAGGACAAGAAGAUUUUAAAAUUGCACCCAGAGUCCAACAGUGACAUUGGUGUAUGUAUACCUGUGAUGUUGGGGUUGUUAUAUAUCUACCCCUUAAACUUCAACCAGAAGAAAGGGAAACAGAAAAAAAUGGGGGAUGAAUUGGCGCAGG